GAUGAACGCUGGCGGCGUGCCUAAUACAUGCAAGUCGAGCGAACAGAUAAGGAGCUUGCUCCUUUGAAGUUAGCGGCGGACGGGUGAGUAACACGUGGGUAACCUACCUAUCAGACUGGGAUAACUUCGGGAAACCGGAGCUAAUACCGGAUAACAUUUAGAACCGCAUGGUUCUAUAGUGAAAGAUGGUUUUGCUAUCACUUAUAGAUGGACCCGCGCCGUAUUAGCUAGUUGGUAAGGUAACGGCUUACCAAGGCGACGAUACGUAGCCGACCUGAGAGGGUGAUCGGCCACACUGGAACUGAGACACGGUCCAGACUCCUACGGGAGGCAGCAGUAGGGAAUCUUCCGCAAUGGGCGAAAGCCUGACGGAGCAACGCCGCGUGAGUGAUGAAGGGGUUCGGCUCGUAAAACUCUGUUAUUAGGGAAGAACAAAUGUGUAAGUAACUGUGCACAUCUUGACGGUACCUAAUCAGAAAGCCACGGCUAACUACGUG
rnacentral:rRNA from 1 species